CUCGCUCAAGGGGCGCUGCGACCUGACUUCGUGCCAUGCACGCAACCCGGGCCAGGCUUGGCGAUGACACCGCACAACGGCGCCCGGCAACC
rnacentral:ncRNA from 2 species